CAAAAAGAUAGUACAGUUUAUUCACGAGAACGUUCUGAAGUCCAUUAUACAAAGACAUCCAUUUUAUAGAUGCGCACAUACUUCCACACAAACAGUAGAUAUCCUACGCACAUACUUCCACACAAACAGUAGGUAUCCUACGCACAUACUUCCACACAAACAGUAGAUAUCCUACGCACAUACUUCCACACAAACAGUAGAUAUCCUACGCACAUACUUCCACACAAACAGUAGAUAUCCUACGCACAUACUUCCACACAAUCAGUAGGUGCGUUUUAUCUCUAUAGUUCUCACCACUGUGUAUCACUGCCUAGCCGACAGUUCCACUCCCCCGAGAUUAGGGAAACCUUGAGAAGUACUCCCUGUGCUCUCAUAGGUUCCUCAGAGUUCCUGCCAGGUCGGUUCAAACACAGUUGAACUGUUCUAUGUAUUUUCUUCGGCACACACACACAAGUUCAAAUCCUGAGCUACGCCUUGCUCAGACAGUCUGUGUUUUUCCACUAUACAGAUACAUUGUUUAACCUAAUUCCGGCAAAAACUACACACAUCAUCGGAUUAUAAUUUUAUGAUUCUAAUCAAUUUCAUACAGUUUUAAGGUUUCAGAGUGGAAUUAUUUAAUCAUUAUCUUUCAACAUUAAAAUGAUUUUAUCAGUAACCACGGUUAUGUGUGCUACCGGAUCACUCCAAUCCUCUUUGUCGGUGAUCUAUGGCACCUCGAAAAAGGACACGAGGGGGAAGUAGUGCAGCGGCAGCUAUUUAAGUGGUUUCGCCGCAGCCUCAGCAAUACUGAAAUCCUUACUCAGAAUGUGUCCUGCUGCGCGGAGGGAUACCUUAUUGAAGGAUACCAUAUUGGAAUGAUUCAAUAGCUCACAUAACCGUGGUUACGUACGUAACCUUCGUUUUUCCUGACACCGCUAUGAUCUUCUCCACGGCCCCGAAUAUCUCCACAGCAGCCGCCGAGAAACGCUCGGGCACAGCUGUGUGGAGAUAUGAAGAGAACAGAGGCUAGCUUGAGCAGCAGCGACAAUUUUAUCUGCAGAAAGGAGUAACAAAACUGCAAUUAUCACUUGUUUGUACGCUAUGCUCCCACCAUGAUCUCACACCCCUGCUAAAAUGCCACAUAGACAAGAGGUUGUAUUUUCCUAUAAAGGCUGAGAACCAACUGUUGUUUGUUGGGCUCUUGACUGUUGCACCUGC
ensembl:lncRNA